GCCUCCGUGGUGUAACGGUUAGCACACUCGGCGCGUAUUCGAGUGGUCCAGGUUCGAGUCCCGGCGAGGGCA
rfam:Stegodyphus mimosarum contig56529, whole genome shotgun sequence.